rnacentral:rRNA from 1 species
UUGGAGGGCAAGUCUGGUGCCAGCAGCCGCGGUAAUUCCAGCUCCAAUAGCGUAUAUUAAAGUUGUUGCAGUUAAAAAGCUCGUAGUUGAACUUCGGGGUCUACCCAUUGGUCAGGCUUAAUUGUCUGCACUGGUGAGAUGGAUCUCUACCUUCUGAGGAACUUUCAUGCCAUUUAUUUGGUGUGGUUGGAAAUCAGGACUGUUACUUUGAAAAAAUUAGAGUGUUUAAAGCAGACUAUCGUCUGAAUACAUUAGCAUGGAAUAGUGAAAUAGGACGGACUGAUUCUAUUUCGUUGGUUUCUAGGAUCACCGUAAUGAUUAAUAGGGAUAGUUGGGGGCAUUAGUAUUCAAUUGUCAGAGGUGAAAUUCUUGGAUUUAUUGAAGACUAACUACUGCGAAAGCAUUUGCCAAGGAUGUUUUCAUUAAUCAAGAACGAAAGUUAGGGGAUCAAAGACGAUCAGAUACCGUCGUAGUCUUAACCAUAAACUAUGCCGACUAGGGAUCGGACGAAGUUAAUUUUAUAAUGACGCGUUCGGCACCUUACGGGAAACCAAAGUGUUUGGGUUC